rnacentral:rRNA from 1 species
AUUGAACGCUGUCUGCAGGCCUAACACAUGCAAGUCGAACGCGUGGCGGACGUGUGAGUAAUGUCUGGGAAACUGCCUGAUUGAGGGGGAUAACUACUGGAAACGUUAGCUAAUACCGCAUACCAUCCGAUUUGCCCAGAUGGUCUUAGCUUGUUGGUGGGUGAACGGCUCACCACGGCGACGAUCCCUAGCUGGUCUGCGAGGAUGACCAGCCACACUGGAACUGAGACACGGUCCAGACUCCUACGGGAGUAAGCAGUGGGGAAUAUUGCACAAUGGGAGCAAGCCUGAUGCAGCCAUGCGGCGUGUAGGAAGAAGGCCUUCGGGUUGUAAAGUACGUUCAGCGGGGAGGCGUUACCCGCAGAAGAAGCACCGGCUAACUCAGUGCCAGCCGCCGCGGUAAUUC